GCAUUGAUAGUAUAGUGGUUAUUAUGUGAGCUUCCCAAGCUCGUGGCCCGGGUUCGAUUCCCGGUCAAUGCA
rnacentral:tRNA from 1 species